rnacentral:lncRNA from 1 species
CGGGCCCCACGCCUCUCAUGCUUUCAGGAUAGAUUCCACAUGUGCAGUUUUUCUACAGUAAUAUCCAGGCAGAACAGCCGCAGGUUAGCACCGCUGCUCAACACCCAGAGGCAGGGCUGUAUGCUACUUACUGGAUUAGCUUCUGGGCUAUCAAGGGCGCAGGUUAGUUGUCGACAGAUGGAACCUAUUUGUAAAAGACCAUUCCCUCACUAUUCGAUGUCCUAUACAAUCUCAAAAAUGUAUGGUCUCAGGGCUGGAGAGAUGGCUCAGCAGUUAAGAGCACUGACUGCUCUUCCAGAGGUCCUGAGUUCAAUUCCCAGCAACCACAUGGUGGCUCACAACCAUCCGUAAUGAGAUCUGACGCCCUCUUCUGGUGUGUCUGAAGACGGUGACAUUAUACUCAUAUGUAAUAAGUAAACCUUUAAAAUUAUAUAUACAGUCUCUACUGGAAGAUGUAGCCACUUAUCCCUGGAUGCCUUCUAUUAGCAGAGUGUCACACGCAACGUGGGAGAUCAGUGAACGCUGUGGAAUGAGACGUGAGCAAAUGAGAUGAUACCUCAUGUUGCCAAUGUUCUCAUCACACACAGAGUGUGAACGCAAGUAAUUAUCAGUGGCAUACAACUUACUCCUGCCAAACUCCACCACAGUGAUCCCUGGCAAGCGCACCGUAAAGUGACAAGGACACAACCAUCACAGGAGCAAAGCGACAAAAGAACAGCGUCACUGUGUGACGUCACUGUGUGGAGUGCACACACCCUGUGCCUUCAUCACACCACGAUUCUAAGAUAAGGCUGCCAACAUAAAAAUCAGACGCCAAUCAACUCUUACUUUUCCAAAGGGCUAGUCAUUUUUUUCAAGUUUCUAUGGAAUCGUAAGGCUUGAAUAUCCUGUGUCUCUAUUUUAGGAGGUAAAAGUCCUUGAAGACCAAGCAUUUGUCGCUCUUGUAACGUAAACGCCAUUCCCUAAAAACAGAAAGAAUUAAAGAAUUAAAAUUAGUAGUAACUACAGCAGCAAUAGCACUGUCCUUUAAAACACAAUUCGAGUGCAAAUUCUGAAAAGUAAAAUACACUUUCCAGGAAUUUCAAAAUGCUUUGAGGCGGAUGCCAUCACAUCCUGAUGAGCAUAUGCAAAGAGUUACCUCUCACAGAGAAAUGUGUAGUAUAAGAUUCUGGAAAACAGCCUAAGGAUCCAGCCCAUAUGUCUUGCUUGUUUUUUUUCAAUACAGAGUCUCUGCAUACCCCUGGAACUUGUUCUAUAAACGAGGCAGACCUCCAACUCAAGAGAUCUGCUUGUCUCUGCAUCUCUAGUGCUAGGAUUAAAGGCAUGCACUACCACCUUGGCUACACUUAAAUACUUUAAUGCACACAUUUGUAGUUAAGCAAUAUGACCUGCACAUAGCCAUUCCAGAUACAUCUCUAGAUAGCUAGGGAAUGCAGAGGUAUAUAACAUCGAGCAGUUCUAACAGUCCCUAGAUCACAGACUAGAUAAAGGUCAUCUCUGUGCAGUAAGCAAUCUAUGGUAUAUCCACACCAUGAAUAAUUCAGAGUUGCCAAUCAAAGCACACUGCUAACCCAUUUGUGCUUAGAAAACAUUCCUAAGACCUCAUAUCACGUUCAGAUGCAUGUAACACAUAAAUGAAACCAAGAAUAUACAGUUAAAAAUGAGUCUAUGUCUGAACAUUCAAUUUCCAGUUUUUAGCUGUGGGAUAAAUUAUAUUAAAAUGAGCCCAGCAAAAAUGCUUGGGUGUGGAUUUCUAAAAAAUCUUUCCUCCUUAAAAGGGCUGAGAGCAUCAGCCAAAUGAUCAACUCUUCUCUUAGUUCUGGAAAAUAACUAAAGGCUUACAACGAUCAAGGAGCAUUUUACCAGGCAGAGCUAGAAGCAAACCUGCAGGCUACGCGAGCAGGAGCUACUCGAUGGCUCAGCGGUGUGGGCCUGCACACACCAUGCAACGGAGCCCUUAGGAAAGGAAGCAUGCAAGACUGCACGGUUCUAGCUCCAGUCAUUUAAGGCUUUGCUGAAUCUUUAGCUGACCUCCAACCUAACCAGAGACUUCAUUAGAUACACGUAACAAAAACACACACUUAAAUGUUACCAUAAAGUAGAACUUGAGACAUAGCUCAGUGACAGAGGCUGGCUUAACAUGUACAGGGCCCAGUGCUGGGAUUGGAAGACAAAGAGAAAGAAAGAAGAGAGAGAAAAGGAAACAUCUGCCAGUCUAAGAAGCCAGGCAUAGUGUGCUAGAAAGAUGGGUCAGGAGCUG